GGUCUCGUAGUGUAGCGGUUAACACGCCUGCCUGUCACGCAGGAGAUCGCGGGUUCGAUUCUCGUCGAGACCGUCA
rnacentral:tRNA from 1 species